AGAGUUUGAUCCUGGCUCAGAUUGAACGCUGGCGGCAUGCCUUACACAUGCAGGUCGAACGGUAACAGGCCGCAAGGUGCUGACGAGUGGCGAACGGGUGAGUAAUGCAUCGGAACGUGCCCAGUCGUGGGGGAUAACUGCUCGAAAGAGCAGCUAAUACCGCAUACGACCUGAGGGUGAAAGCGGGGGACCGUAAGGCCUCGCGCGAUUGGAGCGGCCGAUGUCAGAUUAGCUAGUUGGUGGGGUAAAGGCCUACCAAGGCAACGAUCUGUAGUUGGUCUGAGAGGACGACCAGCCACACUGGGACUGAGACACGGCCCAGACUCCUACGGGAGGCAGCAGUGGGGAAUUUUGGACAAUGGGCGCAAGCCUGAUCCAGCAAUGCCGCGUGGGGGAUGAAAGCCUUCGGGUUGUAAACCCCUUUUCUGGGGGACGAGGAAGGACGGUACCCCAGGAACAAGUCUCGGCUAACUACGUGCCAGCAGCCGCGGUAAGACGUAGGAGGCAAGCGUUAUCCGGAUUCACUGGGCGUAAAGCGCGUGCAGGUGGUGCUUUAAGUUGGGCGUGAAAUCUCCCGGCUUAACUGGGAGGGGCCGUUCAAUACUGAAGCACUUGAGGGCAGGAGAGGGAGGUGGAAUUCCCGGUGUAGUGGUGAAAUGCGUAGAUAUCGGGAGGAACACCAGUGGCGAAGGCGGCCUCCUGGCCUGUUUCUGACACUAAGACGCGAAAGCUAGGGGAGCGAACGGGAUUAGAUACCCUGGUAGUCC
rnacentral:rRNA from 1 species